GGAGGAAGGUGGGGAUGACGUCAAAUCAUCAUGCCCCUUAUGACCUGGGCUACACACGUGCUACAAUGGGCGGUACAAAGGGUCGCGAACCCGCGAGGGGGAGCCAAUCCCAAAAAGCCGCUCUCAGUUCGGAUUGCAGGCUGCAACUCGCCUGCAUGAAGCCGGAAUCGCUAGUAAUCGCGGAUCAGCAUGCCGCGGUGAAUACGUUCCCGGGUCUU
rnacentral:rRNA from 1 species